GACGAACGCUGGCGGCGUGCUUAACACAUGCAAGUCGAACGGAUAGGCCCUGCUUUUGUGGGGUGCUCGAGUGGCGAACGGGUGAGUAACACGUGAGUAACCUGCCCUUGACUUUGGGAUAACUUCAGGAAACUGGGGCUAAUACCGGAUAGGAGCUCCUGCUGCAUGGUGGGGGUUGGAAAGUUUCGGCGGUUGGGGAUGGACUCGCGGCUUAUCAGCUUGUUGGUGGGGUAGUGGCUUACCAAGGCUUUGACGGGUAGCCGGCCUGAGAGGGUGACCGGCCACAUUGGGACUGAGAUACGGCCCAGACUCCUACGGGAGGCAGCAGUGGGGAAUAUUGCACAAUGGGCGGAAGCCUGAUGCAGCAACGCCGCGUGCGGGAUGACGGCCUUCGGGCUGUAAACCGCUUUCGCCUGUGACGAAGCGUGAGUGACGGUAAUGGGUAAAGAAGCACCGGCUAACUACGUG
rnacentral:rRNA from 1 species